rnacentral:rRNA from 1 species
AGAGUUUGAUUCUGGCUCAGAACGAACGCUGGCGGCGUGGAUAAGACAUGCAAGUCGAACGAGAGAAUUGCUAGCUUGCUAAUAAUUCUCUAGUGGCGCACGGGUGAGUAACACGUGAGUAACCUGCCCCCGAGAGCGGGAUAGCCCUGGGAAACUGGGAUUAAUACCGCAUAGUAUCGAAAGAUUAAAGCAGCAAUGCGCUUGGGGAUGGGCUCGCGGCCUAUUAGUUAGUUGGUGAGGUAACGGCUCACCAAGGCGAUGACGGGUAGCCGGUCUGAGAGGAUGUCCGGCCACACUGGAACUGAGACACGGUCCAGACACCUACGGGUGGCAGCAGUCGAGAAUCAUUCACAAUGGGGGAAACCCUGAUGGUGUGACGCCGCGUGGGGGAAUGAAGGUCUUCGGAUUGUAAACCCCUGUCAUGUGGGAGCAAAUUAAAAAGAUAGUACCACAAGAGGAAGAGACGGCUAACUCUGUGCCAGCAGCCGCGGUAAUACAGAGGUCUCAAGCGUUGUUCGGAAUCACUGGGCGUAAAGCGUGCGUAGGCUGUUUCGUAAGUCGUGUGUGAAAGGCGCGGGCUCAACCCGCGGACGGCACAUGAUACUGCGAGACUAGAGUAAUGGAGGGGGAACCGGAAUUCUCGGUGUAGCAGUGAAAUGCGUAGAUAUCGAGAGGAACACUCGUGGCGAAGGCGGGUUCCUGGACAUUAACUGACGCUGAGGCACGAAGGCCAGGGGAGCGAAAGGGAUUAGAUACCCCUGUAGUCCUGGCAGUAAACGGUGCACGCUUGGUGUGCGGGGAAUCGACCCCCUGCGUGCCGGAGCUAACGCGUUAAGCGUGCCGCCUGGGGAGUACGGUCGCAAGAUUAAAACUCAAAGAAAUUGACGGGGACCCGCACAAGCGGUGGAGUAUGUGGCUUAAUUCGAUGCAACGCGAAGAACCUUACCUGGGCUUGACA